rnacentral:rRNA from 1 species
AUGAACGCUGGCGGCGUGCUUAACACAUGCAAGUCGAACGGAAAGGCCAGUGCUUGCACUGGUACUCGAGUGGCGAACGGGUGAGUAACACGUGGGUGAUCUGCCCUGUACUUCGGGAUAAGCUUGGGAAACUGGGUCUAAUACCGGAUAGGACAAAUUUUUGGAUAUUGUUGUGGAAAGCUUUUGCGGUAUGGGAUGAGCUCGCGGCCUAUCAGCUUGUUGGUGGGGUAAUGGCCUACCAAGGCGUCGACGGGUAGCCGGCCUGAGAGGGUGUACGGCCACAUUGGGACUGAGAUACGGCCCAGACUCCUACGGGAGGCAGCAGUGGGGUAUAUUGCACAAUGGGCGCAAGCCUGAUGCAGCGACGCCGCGUGGGGGAUGAAGGCCUUCGGGUUGUAAACUCCUUUCGCUAGGGACGAAGCGUAAGUGACGGUACCUGGAGAAGAAGCACCGGCUAACUACGUG